rnacentral:rRNA from 1 species
GGGUGCGAUCAUACCAGCGCUACAACACCGAAUUCC